AUUAGAGGCAAAACAGGUGUGCUUGAGAAAGGCAAGCAGGUACACAGGUCUCAAGGGCCAUGCCAUUCAUUCCGUUGUGGUGCAUCCUGUACCUACUUCCCACAGGCUACUACGGAAGGAACCAGAGGCGCUAUAAUUUGUGGGUGUGGUCCGGUUUAGUAACACCUAAAUUUUGCUGACAGCCAUGAGUGAGAAGAUACAAACAUCCAUUGCUUCACACAGUUAAAAAUAACUACAAACCUUUGUAGGUUUGCAAUGCUUGUAACUAAGGUCUGGUAUUCCAAGAACCAUUGCCAGUGAUCAAGGAACAUAUUUCAAAGGCUCACUAAUCCAAGAUGGGGCAGAAAAGUAGACUAUGACCUGACAAUUUCAUCUGUGCUACAAACCACAAUCUGUUUUCUGCUAGAAAGCAGAAUUUAUAAAAAAGAAAAUGGUGUGUUAAAGAAACAAAUUAAAACUCUCGAGAGAAAUCCUUGCACUUAAAACCUGAAUGAUGGUUUCAUGGAAGCUCUGCAUGGCAGGAAUGAGGGCCCCUGUGUAAGGGAAAAGUUGGCCUGUGAAUGUCUGCUGGACAUAAAGGGUCCAAUGGGAGCCUUGCAGAUACAGAAAAUUAUCCAACACUGCCUUGAUAUUGGACACAGGUCCACAUGGGAUACCCUAAUUUUGUCACACAAGCCCUGGGCAGUGAAUCCUGCAAUAAGAUUUAGGAAGAAAACUGCCUUUGACCUUAGGCAGGAGAUCAACACUGCCCCAAACCUGACCCCUAACGUACUUCUUGUUAAAGAGCCCCAAGAGAAGUGUCCACAAUGACCAGACAGUGCCCCCAAAACAGUGGAAACUCCAGUAGCACUAGGAUAGCAGAAUGGCCCAGACUUAGCACUGCAGGGAGUACUAGUACAACCACAAGGACACGAAAUAUAAAAAAAAAAUACCUUCUGAAAAAGUUUCUGGAUCACUGAGAUUAUUGCAGAAAGAAGAGAUUGACACCAGACUUAAUAGGUAGGAGAGAAUAGGGCCACUUACACCAAUAUAUUUUGGUUUUGUUGCUGUUCACUUGAGCUACCAUCCACACUGCUGUUAUAUCACCACACUUAAUGCUGGGAUAACCACAACAUUUUUUUUUUUUCUGAUAUUGACCCGACAUACUCCAAUAAAAUGUUCCCUGGAGAAAAACAUGUGACUGGGGACGGAACAAAGACUGCCAGGAAACAAAAGCCAUCUGUGGAAAGGCCCUCCCAUGUAGACAUCAGAUCAUAUUCCAUUCCCAGCACCCCAAAGCCAACAUGGCAUUUGAGAUGUGCAGUACACACUCGCAAACGUGGCUGACCAUCCCCGUCUUAGGGUACCAAGUCAAUACAUGCAUGGCGCCUUCUCAUCCCCACCUGGAGUAACCAUCGCUGGCCGUGGGAUUCAGUUUCUCCGGAGGACAUACAAAUCACUCAUGGAGCCAAUCCACAGGAUAUUCUCCAGAAAGAGAAUAAGCACCACUGACCUCUUCACAACUGACUUCCACUGCUGCUACAAAAACACCACAGGCACUAAAAAGUCCUCAGCCAUGAGAAAAAUGAGCCAAAGAACAGCAAGGGGGUGGCCUUGGGCUCUUCCCAACCACAAGGAGCUAUCUACCUCUGGGGGACAAGGGAACCCAGAGCCAGCACUCAAGGACAAACCUGGCCACACAGUGGCGGGUUACCGGCUAACUCUUCUGUGCUACCUGCACAUUCCCCUAGUCCUGCAGACAGUGUGUAUGCUGCCCCAGCCUCACAGAGAGAAGGCCUUCACACAACGAAUCUCCUCGGCACAGGAGCGCCUACUGCCCCAUGACUCCCUAUGAUCCAAAGUGGACCCCAUCCUAAGCCUGGAUGGAUGGCUUAGUGCUACCUGCAUCAACAAAUGGAAGUUGUCCUUCUCUCCAGCCCCAGCUGGAGCCAUGUGCCGGACCUCAGUUUGAUGAGGACGACGGUAUAGAGUUUUCACUCAUUUUGUUCAGCUUUCCAAGGAAUGCAUGUAUUGAGGUCAUCAUCGAUCCAUGCACAGUCUUUAUCCCUACAAAGAAGGAACAUCAGGGGCUUUUGGAAAAUGGACAU